rnacentral:tRNA from 1 species
CGGGGCGUAGCGCAGUUGGCAGCGCGCCGUGUUUGGGACGCGGAGGUCAUGGGUUCAAAUCCCGUCGCCCCGA